AUUGAACGCUGGCGGCAGGCCUAACACAUGCAAGUCGAACGAGUGGCGGACGGGUGAGUAAUGUCUGGGAAACUGCCUGAUGGAGGGGGAUAACUACUGGAAACGGUAGCUAAUACCGCAUACCAUCGGAUGUGCCCAGAUGGGAUUAGCUAGUAGGUGGGGUAAAGGCUCACCUAGGCGACGAUCCCUAGCUGGUCUGAGAGGAUGACCAGCCAAGCUGGGAAGGAGACACGGUACAGAAUCCUACGGGAGGCAGCAGUGGGGAAUAUUGCACAAUGGGCGCAAGCCGGAUGCAGCCAUGCCGCGUGUAUGAAGAAGGCCUUAGGGUUGUAAAGUACUUUCAGCGGGGAGGCGUGAAGCGCAGAAGAAGCACCGGCUAACUACGUGCCAGCAGCCGCGGUAAUUC
rnacentral:rRNA from 1 species